AAAAAGUCGAAAGGAGAAAUCGUGGUGGCUGGGAAAUUGAUAAUUUCAGAGAGAACACUCGAGAUGGAGAGACAGGGUGUGGGUCGUCUUCUUCCUUAGACGACUGCUACCGAGCCCCUACAUCUCCGCGACUCGACGAGUUUUUUUGCCAUAAGCUUCACGCCAACGCAACGCUGCAGGAUCUUGUUGCCGAUUUACCACUUGCACUGCUUCCGCAAGCCCAAGUUGCUGCUGUUUGUGAUCCACAGCCCGAGCCGACGACAACUGAGCUUGCCGCUCCGGUGUGCCGCCGCUGCCCAUCACGUCGCUGACGACACCAGCAAGCCAUCUAAAAUUUCAGAUUUGUGUGAAGGUGUCUCUUGCGGGUCUUUCCAGCGAGUUUCCUGCAACGAGCAAUUUUGGUCGGGUCACAUCAAGUUGCGGCAACGUGUUUGGUUCCAUACGAUGGAGACCGAUCCUGUGAAGUCCUGAUUUUCAUUGUUCCUAUAGGCUUUUUGGCAUGUUAUCCCACGGUUUCAUCGCUCAUUGCAUGCACAGAAGACGUCAUAUU
rnacentral:lncRNA from 1 species